rnacentral:rRNA from 1 species
AGAGUGAACGCUGGCGGUAGGCCUAACACAUGCAAGUCGAACGGCAGCACAGGAGAGCUUGCUCUCUGGGUGGCGAGUGGCGGACGGGUGAGGAAUACAUCGGAAUCUACCUUUUCGUGGGGGAUAACGUAGGGAAACUUACGCUAAUACCGCAUACGACCUACGGGUGAAAGCGGAGGACCGUUCGGCUUCGCGCAGAUAGAUGAGCCGACGUCGGAUUAGCUAGUUGGACGGGUAAAGCCCA